CCUGACCCAAAUGAGGAUGGGUUUAAGACCUGGUGGAUUUUACAAAAGACUGUGAGUUAACCGUGCUGGACAGCUAAGCACCACACAGCCAAAACCACCUGCAGCAAAAUGAAAAUCAGCAGCAAACAGUCCUUUCACUACAUCACACCCCACAGUGCCCACCUGCAGCCAAGGGUGACCAAUCUGCAGCUCUGUGCAAGUAACCCAGAAAUGUAUUGACUCAAUUGAAGAAUGAGGAG